CGCGCGCUGGCGGACUCCGCCACCCGGAGCCCGCCCCGCCCCGGCCUGUCCCGCGGCCCCUCUGCGAUUUGCUGGCAGUUACAGCCACCCCAGCGCUGGAGAACCGAACCGGCCCCGACCGGUCUGUAGUCGGAGGACCUCCACACUCAGACCUGGGUGCCGACGUCUCAAGGCUGUCCCCAUGAGGGUCAUGUCUCCACUCCUUUUGUGCUGAAUAAUAUUCCAUUGUCUGGAUGUACCACAGGCUUUUUUUCUAUCCACCUAUUGAAGGACAUCUUGGUUUGCUUUUAAGUUUUGGCAAUUAGAGAUCACAAGUAGGCAGAGAGGCAGGCAGAGAAAGGAAGGGAAGCAGGCUCCCUGCUGAGCAGAGAGCCCGAUGCGGGGCUCGAUCCCAGGACCCUGAGACCAUGACCUGUGCUGAAGGCAGAGGUUUAACCAUCAAGUCUGUCUGUGGUCUGCUGAAAGCCCAGUGUUUCGCUUGCGAUAAGAUGUGGGAGAGAGAUGCUAUAUACAAAACUGUUUCAUGAGCACCAUUGCUGCAAGUACAGCAUAUAUUAUACACAAGGACUUGUAAAGUCCUUUACCAUAAUUUUGACUUGAUGUUACACCUCCUAAGAAGAGCACUUAUGAGUCUCAUACUUUAUCAUCUUCUCAGCAUCCCCAGCAGAAAGGAAUCAAGUUGUUGGUAGACGACUGUCAGGUAGAACAUGUGACUAAUGAAAUCCUUAAGCCCCUCAGCGAUAGCUCCAAGAAGAGAAGCAAGAGUGCGUGCUCCCAGGCCGGAGUAGCUGAACUGAAUGCUCCUCAGAUUACCGGGUGUCCAUCACUACCCAGAUCGCCUGCACACCUGCCGGGUUUAAUGGACGUCUCUAUUUCAGUUACUCUACAUUAUGCCUCUUGUUUUGUCAAAGGGCAAUUUUGAUAUAAGUUGCUGCCUAGAAAGGAGAAACUCUCAAAGAUGUGCCCUCAACAAAUAAUUUUAGAUUAAGGAGGUAUGCAGUAACUGGAAGCCAUGUAUUAGCACUCAAUUCUGGUGAUUCAGGCACGGAGCCAAAGCAUUUAUGAAUGUGGUGAGUACUGGCACCAGUUCCUUCACAUAAAGUUAUUUUAUGAACAAUAGUUCACUCUGAGUGCAGAAUCUAUCUGCCUUCAUUAACUGACAUUCUUUACCAUUGUCAACAUAAGCCAACAUUCAUUGAACGUCUACAGGGUUUUGGCACUCUAUAAUGUUCUAUUUAUACUUUCUUUUUUUAAACACUGACAUACUAUGAAAUGAAAAUAUGGGCAUUAUUUCCUUCUAAAAGAACUCUGUAAAAGAGGAACACGAUGACAGGGAAAUAAGACACUGGAAAAUUUCUUUCACUUUUUAUUAAAAAUUUACUAUGCUUUUUUUUUUUUAGCAAAAUAGCUGAAAUAGAACUAUUUCAGUCAUGACAUAUGCUAUUUUAAUCAAAUUGCUGCCAGAAAUACUGAAUUGGCUUCAGAAAAUGAUACCAGUAAAAUAACACAUCUUAGAGUAGCUUUAUCUUAAUUUAUACCAGAAGCACAUUCUGAGAUCCUCGCAUUAGGGAGACAAACCAUAGGAGACUCAAUCUCACAAAACAAACUGAGGGUUGCUGGGGGUUGGGGGAAUAGGCAUAGGGUGGCUGGGUUAUGUACAUUGAGGAGGGUAUGUGCUAUGGUGAGUGCUGUGAAAUGUGUAAGCCUGAUGAUUCACAGACCUGUACCCCUGGGGCAAAUAAUACAUUAUAUGUCAAUAAAAAUAAUUUAAAAAUAUAAAUUUUAAUUCAAUAACACUUCCAUCUCGAAAAAUCUGGCUCGAAUUGGAAUUAAGCCUGUUGAAAUUACACACUUCAGUUAGAGAGAGCUCCAGGUAGAACCAAAAUAUGGGCUUCAAGUGCCCUCUGGUGGCUGACGGGCAGAACAACCAAAUAUAAUUUGAAGUCUGGAAUAAACAGGCACAUGCUAAAUUUCA